rnacentral:rRNA from 1 species
AUACGGAGGAUCCGAGCGUUAUCCGGAUUUAUUGGGUUUAAAGGGUGCGCAGGCGGCCAUUUAAGUCAGCGGUUAAAUCGUGGGGCUCAACCCCAUUCUGCCGUUGAUACUGGGUGGCUUGAUUGCGGUCGAGGUUGGCGGAAUUCGUUGUGUAGCGGUGAAAUGCAUAGAUAUGACGAAGAACACCGAUUGCGUAGGCAGCUGACCAGACCGCAAAUGACGCUCAUGCACGAAAGUGCGGGGAUCGAACAGGAUUAGAUACCCUGGUAGUCCGCACAGUAAACGAUGAAUACUUGUUUUCGGCGAUAUAAUGUCGGAGGCGAAGCGAAAGCGAUAAGUAUUCCACCUGGGGAGUACGCCGGCAACGGUGAAACUCAAAUGAAUUGACGGGG